CCCCCACCGGGGCGUGGACCUGUGAGUCUGGGUCUUGCGCGGCCUUGCCCCACGAUCCCCCGACAAGGGCGUCACUUCCCCGCUAAAGAAUCCCACGCUCUGUCCCCGUCCCCGCUGCUGCCUGUCUGCCCCGUGUCACGCUGUCCCCUCCGUGGGGCACCUCGCAGGGACUCCUGGGAAGACCGAAGCAUGUGCAGCCCUCUCUUCUGGGGACCCCCAGUGACCUGAGGACAGGCCCAGGAGACAGGAGGGAAACCGAGGCAUGGGAGCGCAUCCUGUCGUGUCUGCAGUGCUGGAGAGGACGUCACUGUGAGCAGCUCCAAGCGCCAGAGCCUCCGAGGCUCCGGCAGAGCCAGGUCAGCGCACGUCGUGGUCACGUGACCAGUUGGCCAGUGAGUAGGCCCACUUCACAGACGAAAGCAGAAGCUCAGGGAGCAUAAGAAUUUACCCAGUGCCCAGUGCGGUACGCACGCCUGUAAUAUCAGCUCUCAGGAGGCUGAGGCAGGAGGAUCACCAUGAGUUCAAAGCCAGCCUGGGCUACGUAGCAAGGGAGGUCCUAUCUCAAAACACAAAACAGAAAGAGUUGACCGCCUCCGAGGCUCCGG
rnacentral:lncRNA from 1 species